CGCGCAGGCGGCCUUAGAAGUCAGGCGUGAAAGCCCCGGGCUCAACCUGGGAAUUGCGCUUUGAUACUCUUUGGCUGGAGUUCGGGAGAGGAGAGUGGAAUUCCCAGUGUAGAGGUGAAAUUCGUAGAUAUUGGGAAGAACACCGGUGGCGAAGGCGGCUCUCUGGACCGAUACUGACGCUGAGGCGCGAAAGCGUGGGAGCAAACAGGAUUAGAUACCCUGGUAGUCCACGCUGUAAACGAUGUGUGCUAGACGUUGGGGGGCCUAGCCCUUCAGUGUCGCAGCUAACGCGUUAAGCACACCGCCUGGGAGUACGGCGCAAGGUUAAA
rnacentral:rRNA from 1 species